UACGUAGGGUGCAAGCGUUAAUCGGAAUUACUGGGCGUAAAGCGUGCGCAGGCGGUUGGGCAAGACAGAUGUGAAAUCCCCGGGCUCAACCUGGGAACUGCAUUUGUGACUGCACAGCUUGAGUGCGGCAGAGGGGGAUGGAAUUCCGCGUGUAGCAGUGAAAUGCGUAGAUAUGCGGAGGAACACCGAUGGCGAAGGCAAUCCCCUGGGCCUGCACUGACGCUCAUGCACGAAAGCGUGGGGAGCAAACAGG
rnacentral:rRNA from 1 species